GAUGUACGCUAGCGGCAGGCUUAACACAUGCAAGUCGAACGGUAACAGGUGUAGCAAUACAUGCUGACGAGUGGCGCACGGGUGCGUAACGCGUAUGCAACUUACCUCUAACUGGAAGAUACCCUUCCGAAAGGAAGAAUAAUACUCCAUUAUAUUUCGAUGUGGCAUCACAUUGUUCUUAAAGCUUCGGCGGUUAGAGAUAGGCAUGCGUCUGAUUAGCUUGUUGGUGAGGUAAUGGCUCACCAAGGCAACGAUCAGUAGGGGGCCUGAGAGGGUUAUCCCCCACACUGGUACUGAGACACGGACCAGACUCCUACGGGAGGCAGCAGUGAGGAAUAUUGGUCAAUGGACGCAAGUCUGAACCAGCCAUGCCGCGUGCAGGAUGAAUGCCCUAUGGGUUGUAAACUGCUUUUAUAUAGGAAUAAACCUCUUUACGUGUAAAGAGCUGAAGGUACUAUAAGAAUAAGGACCGGCUAACUCCGUGUCAGCAGCCGCGGUAAUACGGAGGGUCCAAGCGUUAUCCGGAUUUAUUGGGUUUAAAGGGUCCGCAGGCGGGAAAAUAAGUCAGUGGUGAAAUCCUAUCGCUUAACGAUAGAACUGCCAUUGAUACUGUUUUUCUUGAGUAUACUUGAAGUGGGCGGAAUGUGUCAUGUAGCGGUGAAAUGCAUAGAUAUGACACAGAACACCGAUUGCGAAGGCAGCUCACUAAAUUAUAACUGACGCUCAUGGACGAAAGCGUGGGGAGCAAACAGGAUUAGAUACCCUGGUAGUCCACGCCGUAAACGAUGAUUACUCGGUGCUAGCGAUAUACGGCUAGUGCCUAAGCGAAAGCGAUAAGUAAUCCACCUGGGGAAUACGGUCGCAAGAUUG
rnacentral:rRNA from 1 species